rnacentral:rRNA from 1 species
CAGCAGCCGCGGUAAUACGUAGGUGGCAAGCGUUGUCCGGAAUUAUUGGGCGUAAAGGGCUCGCAGGCGGUUUCUUAAGUCUGAUGUGAAAGCCCCCGGCUCAACCGGGGAGGGUCAUUGGAAACUGGGAAACUUGAGUGCAGAAGAGGAGAGUGGAAUUCCAUGUGUAGCGGUGAAAUGCGUAGAGAUGUGGAGGAACACCAGUGGCGAAGGCGACUCUCUGGUCUGUAACUGACGCUGAGGAGCGAAAGCGUGGGGAGCGAACAGGAUUAGAGACCCCUGUAGUCCCUGUCUCUUAUAC